ensembl:lncRNA
CUGAUAUCUGUUAUAGAGUGGAGGUGGGGUAAUGGUGUCCUGAUGUCUGUUAUAGGGUGGAGGUGGGGUAAUGGUGUUCUGAUGUCUGUUAUAGAGUGGAGGUGGGGUAAUGGUGUUUUGAUAUCUGUUAUAGGGUGGAGGUGGGGUAAUGGUGUUCUGAUGUCUGUUAUAUGGUGGAGGUGGGGUAAUGGUGUUCUGAUGUCUGUUAUAGAGUGGAGGUGGGGUAAUGGUGUUCUGAUGUCUGUUAUAGAGUGGAGGUGGGGUAAUGGUGUUCUGAUGUCUGUUAUAGGGGUGAUGGUGAUGGUUAUAGUGUGUUUGAGGCUGAGACCUGAUAAAGAGGAGACAGACAGCAGGUGGGGAUGAGAUGGCUCUAGAGAUGGGUAUUUUAUGAUGCCUUCACCUACAGUCAUUACACUGGAACCAAGAUAAGAGUGUGUGCGUCUGAUGUUUUGAAGUGUGUCGAGUGUGUGUGUUUGACGCUGCAUUUGGAGUGGCUAGAGAACAUUUCUUGCUGUGAGCAAUCUGGAGCUGGCCGCACUCCUCCACUCAUCCCUCUCUUCUCUUGUCUCAAACUGCAAUUUGUAAAACAGGGACCACCGCUUUUGCCUCUCCCUCGCUCUACAGCCCCGCACAGCUCCACUGCUCCCCUAUCUCAUCACUCUCCUCUCCUACCUCAUCACUCUCUUUACCCCAUCCCUUACUUUCUACAUGUCAUCUCUGUGCUUCCUCUCUCAUCUCACUUCCUCCUGUUCAGUUUCUUCUUUUCACUCUAACUCUGUGUUGAUCUUUCUCAUCUCUCCCCCUCUGCUUCUCUUUCCUCUCCUUCAUCAUCUCUCACUAUCCAUCUUAUUCUCCCUUCUGUCUACUCUCCCCUUCCUUAUCUUCCUACCUGUUCUCUCU